UCUGGUUCUCUAGUAGGUACUAAAAUUGGAACAAAUAAGAGAAGAUAAGCUUGCCCCCCUGAGUAAGAAUGACACGCAAAAUCGCGAAGCAUUCAAUAAGCGG
rnacentral:snRNA from 1 species